rnacentral:rRNA from 1 species
GAUCCUGGCUCAGGAUGAACGCUGGCGGCGUGCUUAACACAUGCAAGUCGAGCGAAGCGCUUGCCAUUGACUCUUCGGAAGAUUUGGCAUUUGACUGAGCGGGCGGACGGGUGAGUAACGCGUGGGUAACCUGCCUCAUACAGGGGAAUAACAGUUAGAAAUGGCUGCUAAUGCCGCAUAAGCGCACAGGACUGCAUGGUCUGGUGUGAAAAACUGAGGUGGU